rnacentral:rRNA from 1 species
UACGUAUGUCCCGAGCGUUAUCCGGAUUUAUUGGGCGUAAAGCGAGCGCAGACGGUUGAUUAAGUCUGAUGUGAAAGCCCGGAGCUCAACUCCGGAAUGGCAUUGGAAACUGGUUAACUUGAGUGUUGUAGAGGUAAGUGGAACUCCAUGUGUAGCGGUGGAAUGCGUAGAUAUAUGGGAGAACACCAGUGGCGAAGGCGGCUUACUGGACAACAACUGACGUUGAGGCUCGAAAGUGUGGGUAGCAAACAGG